rnacentral:lncRNA from 1 species
AUGGAGAGGGGCCGCGGGGCCGCGCUCGCGCGCUCCCGGCGGGGGGAAAGGGGGGGGGGGGCGCGCCUGGGAUGCUUGCCCCGGCCCCGCGCUUACCGUGUCCGCCCCGGGGAGCUCGGCCGUCCGGAGGAGAAGAAAAAGAAGAGGAGGAGGAGGAGGAGAGCAAGGCAGGUAGGAGCCGGGAGUCCCCGCCCGGGGGGCCGGCCGGAGGCGGGGCUGCGGGACAGGACGGGGCGGGGCUCCCUCCUCUUCCCUCCCUUUUUUUUUUUUUUUUUUCCCCCCCCUCCCCGCCCCCCCGCAGCCGGGCUGGGGAUGGAGAUGGGAAAGGGAAGACCCUCCCUCCGUCCGCCCCGCCGCCUUUUCCCACGCUCCGCUCCCGGCCGGUCCUGCCCCGCCCCGCCCCGCAUCUCCGGCGCAUGCGCGGACCCGCCCGCCCCGCUCAUCCCCCCUCCCCGGCCCCGGCCCCCCCCCCCCCAAUCGCCCUGGCGGCGCUGGGAGGGGGGAGGGGGAGGCGCUCAACGCCCUGAAACUCACCCUGUGCUAAGCACUGCGCCCCGGCGCACCCCCCCGGAGGACCGGAGGGAGCCGGCCCGGCGCCCCCUGGAGGACGGCAGGGGCAAGGCAGGCCACAGGCGCCCCAGCGCCCCCCGGAGGACGGUCGGAGGCGGGACGCGGCCCAGCGCCCCCUGGAGGACAACAGGGGAAAGAUGUCCGAGGAGUGCCUGCCUGCCUGCUGAACAAGAAAUCACUUCCUGCACCGCCAGCGAGUUGCUGAGGUUCUCUGAAAAGGAAGACCUGCAUUUGUUUAUGUGCAGGUAGGUGGUGGGAGUACAGUGACAUCUCUGAAGGCUCCCAGCAGGUCAAUGGCAAAAGGUGGCACAGAAGCGAGGGUGGCUGGGGGAGGCAGAAAAGUCUGGUCCUACUUUGGCCAGGCUGGGCCUGGCUGAUCCUGUCAAAGUGACUGUGUGCAUCCGGGAAAAGUGAAUGCCACCCUUUAAGACAAACAACACUCCCAUUCCAUCCUAGUGGUUUUAAUCACGUUGCCCUGCAAUUCCGACGCUUCAGCACCUUUGAGAGAAAAUGGUAAACUGAUGUCGGAUUAGUAUCUGAUCUUUCGUCUCAGAAUGCUCUGGCAAUUGUCAGCAAAACUGGUAACUUGAAAUAUUGCUUAAACUUACCCACCAGUGUGAGUUAUAUUUGCAUUUCACUCUCUAUCAUUCCAAAUGCAUAGCCCACAGAGGAUAAUGCCUUGUUCUGUUAUAUUGUUCUAAUUUUUUAGGCUGUGCUUCACAUUAAGUAUCUCAUUUUAUCCUCACAACAUCCCUCUGUGAGGUAGAGAGAGACUGUUGUAAUUAUCCUCAUUUUGCAGAUGAGGACACUUUGCCAUUACUUCGAAAUGUUAGCAAGCAUCUUUUAUCUGCAGUUGGUUGCAUUAUCUGGAAGAGCGUGUAUGCCAAUGUAUAAUAUAUAUAAUGUGUCAUGUAUAUAAUAUAGAUAUAUAUUAACUAUAUAAACUACGGCCCUCCAUUGCUUUACAAGUUACUAUGAAUCAAGUUUACCCUCAGAUGUGAAUGGGACCCAAAAAAACAGCAUGAAACUCGCAAUCCCGCUCCAAGGAGAGUGACACCCCAGGAGACAGCUGGGAGAUAAACCCCUAGAGCAAUGCUGCCAGGGACAAGGACAUUAAGUCUUAGUGCAAGUCCUCAUUGCCUGAGGCUUAAAUACAAAUCUGUCAGGAGGAGCAGACAUAGUGGAAAGGGCCAGAAAGGCUGGUGUUCAGAGGCGGUCAAUGCAGUAGGUUGGCUUAAGAAGCCCCGUCCCCCACCCCAACAUAUUCAGUCCCAUCAGCCCUCACCCAAAGUGGACAUCCAGCAGCUCCCCAGUUAGGUGGCAGGAAUAAUAAUAAUAAUAAUGUUGGUAUUUGUUAAGCGCUUACUAUGUGCCGAGCACUGUUCUAAGCGCUGGGGUAAUCAGGUUGUCCCACAUGAGGCUCACAGUUAAUCCCCAUUUUACAGAUGAGGUAACUGAGGCACAGAGGAGUUAAGUGACUUGCCCACAGUUACACAGCUGACGAGUGGCAGAGCCGGGAUUCAAACUCAUGACCUCUGACUCCCCAGCCCGUGCUCUUUCCACUGAGCCACGCUGCUUCUCUAAACUUAGGAAUGGGCAUCCAGGAAUGGAAUGGCCAUCCAGGAAAGGAAUGGCCAUCCCUUGGAACAGAGUUGCAGCUUCUGCUGAAGAGCCCCAGGCAAGCUAAGCAAACUCAGCACCUUCCUCCUCCAUGGAUAGGACAGUCCUUGCUUAAGUGGUCAGUGUUUCUACAGCCUCCCGGCUGUUGCUGUCAAUAUUCUGGGGCUUCCUGAGGUGCUACUUCUUAGAGUAUAUGGGAUACAUUCAAUUUAGAUGUUUCCCAAAAUAGCGUUAGCUGUGACCGAGAGAAUACACGUGCAUACUUUCAAGACCCUGGGCAAGGACAUGAUCAAACUCAGUGUUGUACAGGAUUUUGCCUAUAUUUGAUGUUCAGGGAAUGUUUAAUAAUGAUAAUAACAGUGGUAGUAAAAUAGAACCCUUGUUGAUUAGGUUUUUUUCUCCUGAAUUAUUUUAAAUCCUUACCUGUAUGUUAGUGCUGAUGAUUGGCAUAUAUGUCUAUCUAUCUAUCUAUCUAUCUAUCUAUCUAUCUAUCUAUCUAUCUAUCUAUCUAUCUAUCGCUAUCUAUCUAUAUAAUAUUUAUAUAAAUAUAUCUCUUUAUAUAAGAUAUAAUAUCCAUGUCUUUCCUCUUGCUCCCUCUAUCUGUCUGCAGUUUUUGUCUGUCUCCCUCCAUUUCACUGAAGCUCUUUGAGAACUGGGAACAUGUGUCUUGUUUCUGUUGAAUUCUCCUAAGUCCUUAAUAUAGUGCUAUGCAUACAUUGAAUGCCACUGAUUGUAAGGCCCAUUUCUAAAAUGUUCUGUGGCUACAAGUCUGCAGUGCAAGGAACAUUACAUUUCAGUUUAUUUGCAACAUACAGCAUUUCUUCCGUUUUCCACCCCUUCCACCUGGAAAAAAGCAAUCCAAUAAAAAGCCUUGAGCGUUUUUCCUUGCACUUCCCGCACCCCACCCUGUAUACCAGUAUGGCCUGCCAUCCUCUCUUGGGUUGAUCUGGUCAUACACAAUUUAACAUGGCAGAAAAGGGAGUGUAUAGUAGAAAAAAAGUGCAGAAAACCUGUUAACCCUGGAGGCGAAACCCCAGUUUCAGUCCUUAUGCUUUGGGGUAGUGAGGAAACAGCUGGGAGGGUCAGUGAAGUUUGUCUUUACAGGAACUGCCUUCACUGGAACCGAAUUUAUGACCGACUUCCUUGGGUGGGACCAGUGUUGGGUGGGGGGAAGGUCGGGGAGAGACAGAAAGAGAGAGAAAGAGAUACAGGAAGGGGACAGAGUGUGGCAGCAAUGAGAAUCAGCUCUUGCUUUUCUUGCCGGUUCUGCUGCUGCGCUCUUGGCCACGUGGUCAAAAGCGAGACUUGUGUGGGGCCUCAAGUCCCUCUUUUAGAGGUUGGGGAUGCGGGGGGACGGAGGGACACAUUCCUGUUGGGUCUUGCCCAGAGUGGGCAGAGUUGUGUUAGUGGGAGUUGAAUGGAAAUUACCAUAGGGUCUUUAUCAGCUUUCCAUUUAGCAAAUGGUCCUUAUCUUGAAGGGUAAGGACCCUGCCAGGCCAGGGUCUGCUUUCCUAUUGUCCUUCCUCAUUCAGAGAGACUCUGGAAUUACUGGGCCCCAAGAUCAUUACACAGCUUCAGAAGUGGUAUGUAGGAAAGAUAUGAAAGGCAGAGGAUGCUGUGAAUGUGAAGCCCAGGGAGACAUAAGAGAAAAAGGAAAAAAAAGCCUCAGUAGGUCUUCCUGCCUCAAACAGAACUCCGAGUACAGGAGAGACCCAAAAUGUAACUGGACGUUUUUUACAACCUCUACCUCGUAUUCAGUUCCCUGGCGGGCUUGCAGAAAACCAGAGAGAGGUUUGUAUUGUUGUAGGUUGUAUUUUGCAGGAAAAAGCCUGGGAGAUUGAAAGAGAAAGCAAAAUCCUACAUUUUUCUGCAUAUCGACAGGGAGGCAGCACAGGAGGAAAGACAAGAAUCUUUUUUAAAUCAGAAGAAGGAAAACAUGAAAUGAGAGGAAAUACUGACCAACUUGAGGACUAAUUUUACACCGGAAAAGAGGCAACCAUUUGAAAGGUUUGGGGAGUUGCAGGGUGGGGGUAAGGGGGAACCACUGUGUCACAGACCUAAAGACACUGAGUCAGAGCUGUGCUUUGGGGAAUUUCAGAGAUUCUCUGACAAGGGACAGGGUUUCUGUAAUAUGAAGAUGUUGGAGGAAAGGGAACGUUCCCCGAGAUAAAACUUCCCUGAUCAGCGGAAUAGCUGAAAUGUCAAUGCCAGUGAGUUCCAUCCACCUGACAAGACUGACCAUACCCUAAUCAGAAGAAAAUACAGCCUGAAAAAACUCAAAGUACAGACAGAAACCCCUUUCCCACACUCACAGCAGAGGAUCACCUGGUACAAAUGCAGCCACCCACAGCUUGUAGGUGGGCAUGCAGGAAGAGUGGCCUGUAGCCAGGACUUAAACCAGGUCCUGCAAUUAGGAAAUUGUGCCACAAUGUUUCAAGAAGAACCAUUUUGCAAGAUGCUCCUUAGUGCAACCACUAAAACCUCUCAGGCUAACUGUUGAACGGUCACUAAAGAAUGGAUGUGCAUUUAUCUAUGGUUCUCUUUAUCUAUUUUGAUGGUAGUGAUGUUUUGUUUUGUUGUUGUCUGUCUCCCCCUUCUAGGCAAUGACCCCGUUGGUGGGUAGGGAUUGUCUCUUAUCUGUUACCCAAUUGUACUUUCCAAGCUCUGAGUACAGUGCUGUGCACACAGUAAGCACUCAGUAAAUACAAUUGAAUGAGUGAAUCUCAUGUACAUGAGGGAAAACCCCAAGGUAGUAAUGAGAUACCAUGACCCCUACCAGUGGAAAUUCACAGAAUAGGGGUUUCUUUUCAACUGGACCUUGAAGCUCAGGUUGAUAUUUUACUAGAAUAGGAUAGUAAAGGAUGGAAAUAAAGUGAAAAACUGGGUCUAACAGCUAACCCCCUCCUCAUGCCCUUUUAAAAUGCCAUCUUCUCCAGGAAGCCUUCCCCAUCUAAUCCACACCUCCCUGGUCAGCUCAUCCCAUCCCAUCACCCUUAGCCCCUAUGAACUGUAUAAACC